GAUGAACGCUGGCGGCGUGCCUAAUACAUGCAAGUCGAGCGAAUGGAUUAAGAGCUUGCUCUUAUGAAGUUAGCGGCGGACGGGUGAGUAACACGUGGGUAACCUGCCCAUAAGACUGGGAUAACUCCGGGAAACCGGGGCUAAUACCGGAUAACAUUUUGAACCGCAUGGUUCGAAAUUGAAGGGCGGCUUCGGCUGUCACUUAUGGAUGGACCCGCGUCGCAUUAGCUAGUUGGUGAGGUAACGGCUGACCAAGGCAACGAUGCGUAGCCGAGCUGAGAGGGUGAUCGGCCACACUGGGACUGAGACACGGCCCAGACUCCUACGGGAGGCAGCAGUAGGGAAUCUUCCGCAAUGGACGAAAGUCUGACGGAGCAACGCCGCGUGAGUGAUGAAGGCUUUCGGGUCGUAAAACUCUGUUGUUAGGGAAGAACAAGUGCUAGUUGAAUAAGCUGGCACCUUGACGGUACCUAACCAGAAAGCCACGGCUAACUACGUGCCAGCCGCCGCGGUAA
rnacentral:rRNA from 1 species